AUUGAACGCUGGCGGCAUGCCUUACACAUGCAAGUCGAACGGCAGCAUAGGAGCUUGCUCCUGAUGGCGAGUGGCGAACGGGUGAGUAAUAUAUCGGAACGUGCCCUAGAGUGGGGGAUAACUAGUCGAAAGACUAGCUAAUACCGCAUACGAUCUACGGAUGAAAGUGGGGGAUCGCAAGACCUCAUGCUCCUGGAGCGGCCGAUAUCUGAUUAGCUAGUUGGUGGGGUAAAAGCCUACCAAGGCGACGAUCAGUAGCUGGUCUGAGAGGACGACCAGCCACACUGGGACUGAGACACGGCCCAGACUCCUAUGGGAGGCAGCAGUGGGGAAUUUUGGACAAUGGGGGCAACCCUGAUCCAGCAAUGCCGCGUGAGUGAAGAAGGCCUUCGGGUUGUAAAGCUCUUUUGUCAGGGAAGAAACGGUAGUAGCUAAUAUCUAUUACUAAUGACGGUACCUGAAGAAUAAGCACCGGCUAACUACGUGUCAGCCGCCGCAGUAA
rnacentral:rRNA from 1 species